GGCGGCGGGAGAAGGGGCUUCGUCCUACCGCCAUCUUUGCGGUGGGUUCUGCUGAAGCCGAACGAUCCUGCAUAUUGUGUUUUUUGUUGUUGUUGUUUUAAGCCCUGGGCUUUCCAGGCUGAACUUUCUCACUACCAUUACACUGAAAAAGAGCCCUUGAAAGUUUUGCUCGGAUCUUGCACAUUCUUUUGGAAGUCUUACUGUGGAAAUUGUCCGUGUUUUCAGCUUCCACAUCCCUUUCUCCUGGGAGAUUUCUUUUCCGUUUUUUUAACUUUGUCCCUUUUCUUUCCUCCGCAACUGCUUUGUUGUUGUUGUUGUUUCUUGUAAACCACUUCUCAAAAGUGAACUAGUUGCCGUUUAAUAGAAGUUUGGAUGAACUGCCCCCAAAAUAAAGGAAAUCCGAACAGUCAUGAAAGUUGACUCCAAUUGGAGGGAUGGCUCUCAUCAAUUACUCUUUCCACAGGAAUUGAACAGCUUGGACUUGGAGACAGUGAGUUAAAACAGAAAUAAGAAGGCGGCAGAAAAAGACUACCAGAUUGAAAUGUGUUGGAUAUUCAUAUCCACCCAGCACCUCAGAAUGUGGCCAUGGAGGAUGGAGACAGAGAUUGGAGUGACGCAUCUUCAAGCCUAGGAACACUAAGGAUUGCUGGUAAUCACCAGAAGCUGGAAGAGGCAAGAAAGUGUCCUUUCCUAGAGCCUUCAGAGAGAGCGCAGCCUUGCCAACACCUUGAUUAUACGCUUCAAGCUUCUAGAAUUGUGAGAGAAUAAAUUUCUGUUGUUAUAAACCACCUAGUUUGUGGUCUUUUGUUAUGGCAGCCCUGGGAAACUAAU
rnacentral:lncRNA from 1 species